UCGGUUUGCUAUUGGUUUGUC
rnacentral:siRNA from 1 species